CCCUAGCCCAGAUAGAAAUGGAAAGCCCACAGUCAAGCCUUUUUAGGCGAGACGAGGACUUGAAAUGGAAAGCUGGAAAUAGC
rnacentral:sRNA from 1 species